CUUGCUCCCUGAUGUAGCGGCGGACGGGUGAGUAACACGUGGGUAACCUGCCUGAAGACUGGGAUAACUCCGGGAAACCGGGGCUAAUACCGGAUGCUUGAUUGAACCGCAUGGUUCAAUUAUAAAAGGUGGCUUUUAGCUACCACUUACAGAUGGACCCGCGGSGCAUUAGCUAGUUGGGAGGUAACGGCUCACCAAGGCAACGAUGCGUAGCCGACCUGAGAGGGUGAUCGGCCACACUGGGACUGAGACACGGCCAGACUCCUACGGGAGGCAGCAGUAGGGAAUCUUCCGCAAUGGACAAAGUCUGACGGACAACGCCGCGUGAGUGAUGAAGGUUUUCGGAUCGUAAAACUCUGUUGUUAGGAAGAACAAGUACCGUUCGAAUAGGGCGGUACCUUGACGGUACCUAACCAGAAAGCCACGGCUAACUACGUGCCAGCAGCCGCGGUAAUACGUAGGUGGCAAGCGUUGUCCGGAAUUAUUGGGCGUAAAGCGCGCGCAGGCGGUUUCUUAAGUCUGAUGUGAAAGCCCCCGGCUCACCGGGGAGGGUCAUUGGAAACUGGGGAACUUGAGUGCAGAAGAGGAGAGUGAAUUCCACGUGUAGCGGUGAAAUGCGUAAGAUGUGGAGGAACACCAGUGGCGAAGGCGACUCUCUGGUCUGUAACUGACGCUGAGGCGCGAAAGCGUGGGAGCGAA
rnacentral:rRNA from 1 species